GGAACUGUAUAUGUUUUAACACAAUACAUCACCCCACCCCACCCCGAUUAUUAUGAAGCAGAGAGGGGAGACCUCCUUCAGCCACUGGAUAACUCUCAAGAACCUCCAAGUCUUAUUACCAGAGAUUAAUUUGUGCCACAAAGAUAAAUGUCUGAGUUUCCAAACUCCUUUAAGCAGGAGAAUAUAUAUGAAAAAAGUUUACACCUGCCACUAGAAUUACACUGAUAUAUGAUGGAAUGGAGAAGAGGCCCCCCACAAUGUACGGACUGAACUAGGUAAGCAACAAAAGGAUGAAGAAAAUCAUCAAAGGCAACGGGCAAAGCCAUUAUCUGCAGAAAACAGUCACAGAGCCCUUAUCACAAGCCACAGAACGUCUGCUGCUUCAGGGGUCCUCCCCCCUCCCUCGAAUUUACUUUGAAUUUAUUUUCUGAAAUGUUGUUGAACUGAUCACAGUAGCUGAGCCUGAAGAUUUAAAGUAACAUUUUGGCAUAUUGGCAAUUUGGAAGAGCAGCAUUUUAUUUUCUACCUCAACAGCUGAGAAGAUAUUACAACUAGCUUGUUAGUCAGUAUGAAAUUGUGUUUGAAGAAGUGGAAUAAUCAAGUGAAAAAACUGUUUGUAUGUUUUUAAUUGGGUAUUUUGAUAAUAUACAAUGCCAUGGCUCACCGUGUCUUUCUAAUGUACAUACUGAAUAUGAUCAGCCUUUCUGAAUAUGUUGCAUUUGCUAGAGAACAAUGGUAGAAAUGUUUUUGCACAGCAGAGUGUGUACAAACCCUGUUUGACAGCUUCAAUAUUCCUCUGAAAAACUGACAACUGAUAUAGCCUUUUUAAAGCAAUUUAUUGUUUAUUUAAUUUAUUCCCCAGUUUUCUCCCCACUGGGGAUCAAAAAGUGGCUAAUCCUAAACAGAUCUACUCUGGAAUGUUAUUCUAUAGCAUUUGCUCUGAGGAAAGCAUCCUUAGGACUGCAGCCUUUGUGUCUGAAAUGCUGUGAAUAUUACAGCAUCAAAUAUGAUCAAUAUCUGCACAAGCUGUGAGCUACGUCUCCAUUUCUCAGCUGGAAUUGGCUUCCUUCCAUUCCAUGAUGUGACAUACAAAAGUAAGACCUUGAAUUACUUGUUCUUUGGUUCUCCUCCCUCUUUUAAAAUAAACCAAGUCCUUAUUCUUAAAGUUUAUGUAUGUAAUUUAAACUGAGAUGUGAGAUAUUUCCAUAUAUGUAUUAAGGACUGGAUAUUCUUAUUCCUAUUAAAUUCUAUAUGCCUGCUAACACCAAUUAGUCUGUUGUCACAUCCUGUAAUAAGCACAACCUUUCUGGUCAGAACAACAACCACGCUAUCUAUUCUGUCUUUAUUCUGUAUCUGUCAAAGUUGCAGCUUGGAAAGAUUGAGAGGCACUGUCCAGUACAAAGAGGCAAAAAGAAUGCUCUAUGGAUUGUUUCUUGGUUCCAGUUUAGAAAUUGCCUGCUGUAAACAACAUGAUACAUAUUACAAGAUUCACAGGUAUUUGUGUUGUUAAAAUCAUGUUGAUUUAUAGCCUGAACAGACUAAUCAAUUAAAUUAUCACAUUUAGGACGUUGCCUUUGCUCAGGUUAUAAACUUGAGCUAUCAGAGACAGUGUUCAGCUUCUGAAUGAUUAUUGC